GAUGAAGAACGUAGCGAAAUGCGAUACUUGGUGAGAAUUGCAGAAUCCCGUGAACCAUCGAGUCUUUGAACGCAAGUUGCGCCCGAAGCCAUCAGGUUGAGGGCACGUCUGCCUGGGCGUCACAUAUCGUUGCCCAAUGCCUAUUGCAGUGCAAUAGGAAUUUCUAGGGCGAAUGAUGGCUUCCCGUGAGCGUUGUUGCCUCGCGGUUGGUUGAAAAUCGAGUCCUUGGUAGGGUGUGCCAUGGUAGAUGGUGGUCGAGUUAGAACGAUACCGAUCAUGUGCAUGCUCCCCAAAAUAUGGCCUCUAUGACCCACACGCGUCUUUUGACGCUCAUGACGAGACCUCAGGUCAGGCGGGGCUACCCGCUGAAUUUAAGCAUAUCAAUAAGCGGAGGA
rnacentral:misc_RNA from 1 species